CCUACGGGAGGCAGCAGUGGGGAAUAUUGCACAAUGGGGGAAACCCUGAUGCAGCGACGCCGCGUGAGUGAUGAAGUAUUUCGGUAUGUAAAGCUCUAUCAGCAGGGAAGAUAAUGACGGUACCUGACUAAGAAGCUCCGGCUAAAUACGUGCCAGCAGCCGCGGUAAUACGUAUGGAGCAGGCGUUAGCCGGAGUUACUGGGUGUAAAGGGAGCGCAGCAGGCAGGGGAAGUCUGAUGUGAAAGUGCAGGGCUCAACCCCGGGACUGCAUUGGAAACUGUCAGGAUAGAGUGCAGGAGAGGUAAGUGGAAUUCCUAGUGUAGCGGUGAAAUGCGUAGAUAUUAGGAGGAACACCAGUGGCGAAGGCGGCUUACUGGACUGUAACUGACGUUGAGGCUCGAAAGCGUGGGGAGCAAACAGGAUUAGAUACCCCUGUAGUC
rnacentral:rRNA from 1 species